rnacentral:piRNA from 1 species
AGACUGGCUUUUCUUUGUGUGGC